rnacentral:rRNA from 1 species
GACAGAGGAUGCAAGCGUUAUCCGGAAUGAUUGGGCGUAAAGCGUCUGUAGGUGGCUUUUUAAGUCCGCCGUCAAAUCCCAGGGCUCAACCCUGGACAGGCGGUGGAAACUACCAAGCUGGAGUACGGUAGGGGCAGAGGGAAUUUCCAGUGGAGCGGGUGAAAUGCGUAGAGAUUGGAAAGAACACCAAUGGCGAAAGCACUUUACUGGGCUAUUACUGACACUGAGAGACGAAAGCUAGGGUAGCAAAUGGG